rnacentral:rRNA from 1 species
UACGGGGGGGCAAGCGUUGUUCGGAAUUACUGGGCGUAAAGGGCUCGUAGGCGGCCUUCUAAGUCAGACGUGAAAUCCCUCGGCUUAACCGGGGAACUGCGUCUGAUACUGGAUGGCUUGAGUUUGGGAGAGGGAUGCGGAAUUCCAGGUGUAGCGGUGAAAUGCGUAGAUAUCUGGAGGAACACCGGUGGCGAAGGCGGCAUCCUGGACCAACACUGACGCUGAGUGAGCGAAAGCCAGGGGAGCAAACGGG